GGGAUGACGUCAUCUUUUCACUGCAGUUUCCUUUUACUUUUUCUUUGCAAUGCUCUCUCUGUCUCUCUCCUCCUUAUCUCAUCGUCUCUGCACUUGUUUCAGAGAUCAUAUUAACGAACGAAAUCGGUGAUUGAUCGGUGCAUGACGAGCGCAUCAGAGCUCUUCUCUACACGAAGAUCUCGUCCAGGUCGAUCCGACCCGGAUUUAGAAUCCGAUACUUCUUCUUAUCGACACCACUCACACAAUCAUCAUCGCCGUCUCGGUACCCAUCACCAUAACCAACGUCAUGAUUCCGACGGCUGUGAUCUUCUCCGAAGACCCACUCCACGUCUCCGACGCUUCUGUCACCAUACUGAACGUAGACCUAUUCGUGAUGUUCAAGGCACCGCUCAGUAUUUGAAUACGGAAGAUACUGACACUCAAAGUAGCAGCUUUGUAAACCUAAAUGGAUCCGAGAGGCUUCCUGGAGCUGUUCUGCUCGCAAGGGCAAGACUUUUCGAAAGAUUAAGAGGUGUUUCUUUGUCUGCUAACAGUCGAAGCAACAGAGUAUCAUUGGGAGAUGAGCAAAGGGAGUCCUCAUUUCAUUCUACAGAUGUUGAUCCAAUUUUUCAACUAGAAGGGCUUCAAGUGACCAAUGAAUGUAACAAGAAACCGCAAGGUCUUACUCAGGAUGCUAUUAACUGUUUACACCAGCAAACUUUUAGCUCAGCCGAAGUUAAAACUGAGAUGAGAGAUUGUAGCAUAUGUUUAGAGAGUUUCACUAAAGACGACACGCUUAUAUCCUUGCCCUGUACCCAUAGCUUCCACUCUUCUUGCUUAAACCCUUGGCUAAGAGCUUGUGGAGAUUGUCCUUAUUGCCGUAGAGCCAUAGCUCAGGAAUAAUAAGACUUGUAAAUAGAACAUUUACCCUACUAUAGCCACGUCCUUGUUUUAGCUCUAGACAACCUUAAAUCGGUCUUGGAGUUUUGUCGCCCAUUUGAGUGUUUUUGGUUGUUGUUCUGUCACGUGUUUUUGUUUGUAACGGUUUUUGUGUGCCAUUGGGUAGUUCAAGCGUUGGAUAUUGUAUGCUGUGAAUCUUUUUAGUUCUCUUCACUGAGAUCUCUCUUUUAAUGUCUUGUUGGUUAUCAAAGCGACCUUUUUUUUGACCAAA